UACGAAGGGGGCUAGCGUUGCUCGGAAUCACUGGGCGUAAAGGGUGCGUAGGCGGGUUCUUAAGUCAGGGGUGAAAUCCUGGAGCUCAACUCCAGAACUGCCUUUGAUACUGAGAGUCUUGAGUACGGGAGAGGUGAGUGGAACUGCGAGUGUAGAGGUGGAAUUCGUAGAUAUUCGCAAGAACACCAGUGGCGAAGGCGGCUCACUGGCCCGAUACUGACGCUGAGGCACGAAAGCGUGGGGAGCAAACAGG
rnacentral:rRNA from 1 species